AAGCUCGUAGUUGAAUUUCGGGCCUGGCUGGACGGUCCGCCCUUCGGGUGAGUACUGUCUGUGGUCGGGUCCUACCUUCUGGCGAAGCGUCAUGGCCUUAACCGGCCGUGGCGGGGAACCAGGACUUUUACUGUGAAAAAAUUAGAGUGUUCAAAGCAGGCAAUCGCUUGGAUACAUUAGCAUGGAAUAAUGGAAUAGGACAAUGGUUCUAUUUGUUGGUUUCUAGGACCGUUGUAAUGAUUAAUAGGGAUAGUUGGGGGCAUUAGUAUUCAAUUGUCAGAGGUGAAAUUCUUGGAUUUAUUGAAGACUAACUACUGCGAAAGCAUUUGCCAAGGAUGUUUUCAUUAAUCAAGAACGAAAGUUAGGGGAUCGAAGACGAUCAGAUACCGUCGUAGUCUUAACCAUAAACUAUGCCGACUAGGAAUCGGGCGAUGUUGAAAAAAUGACGCGCUCGGCACCUCAUGGGAAACCAAAGUGUUUGGGUUCCGGGGGGAGUAUGGUCGCAAGGCUGAAACUUAAAGGAAUUGACGGAAGGGCACCACCAGGGGUGGAGCCUGCGGCUUAAUUUGACUCAACACGGGAAAACUCACCAGGUCCAGACAUAGUAAGGAUUGACAGAUUGAGAGCUCUUUCUUGAUUCUAUGGGUG
rnacentral:rRNA from 1 species